ensembl:lncRNA
CUCUAAUGUUCCUGCUGAGAUCUCUCUCAGCCUCUAAUGUUCUUGGUGAGGUCUCUCUCAGCCUCUAGAUGUUCCUGCUGAGGUCUCUCUCAGCCUCUAAUGUUCCUGCUGAGGUCUCUCUCAGCCUCUAAUGUUCCUGGUGAGGUCUUUCUCAGCCUCUAAUGUUCCUGCUGAGGUCUCUCUCAGCCUCUAAUGUUCCUGGUGAGGUCUCUCUCAGCCUCUAGAUGUUCCUGCUGAGGUCUCUCUCAGCCUCUAAUGUUCCUGGUGAGGUCUCUCUCAGCCUCUAUUGCUCCUGGUGAGGUCUCUCUCAGCCUCUAAUGUUCCUGCUGAGGUCUCUCUCAGCCUCUAAUGUUCCUGGUGAGGUCUCUCAGCCUCUAUUCUUCCUGCUGAGGUCUCUCUCAGCCUCUAAUGUUCCUGGUGAGGUCUCUGUUGGCCUCAGGGAGCCUCUGAUCUCCAGCCAGCACCUGAUGUCACCGCCAACGCUUCAUGGUGCGAAGGGGAUGAGGGCAUUGUUUGCACGUUGUCAUGGAGAUGUGUCGGACUGGGAGAAGGAAAAAUAGUGGAAUAUCCUGGAAAGUUUCUCCUCGCGUUCCUCCUCCUCCCCUCACAUUGGAGACAGACCCGUUGGUCCAGGGGAAAUAAUCCCUGAAGGUGUUUUGAAGAAAGCCUCUCUAAAGGCUAAAGGGUUAGACUCCCAACCCAAAAGGACUGGGUUUGAUUCCCAAUGUCCAGGACCCAAGGAUGUGUCUAAAUGUGCAUUAAGUCGCUUUGAUAAACACCUCUUUGGAAUUCAGUGAUGGUAGAAGUGAACUGAUGUUCACCAUCUCAGUAACCAGAGGAAUGUGAUCCAUAGGUAACAGAGGAGACUGUUCACCCUCUCAGUAACCAGAGGGAUGUGAUCCAUAGGUAACAGAGGAGACUGUUCACCCUCUCAGUGACCAGAGGGAUGUGAUCCAUGGGUAACAGAGGAGACUGUUCACCCUCUCAGUAACCAGAGGGAUGUGAUCCAUAGGUAACAGAGGAGACUGUUCACCCUCUCAGUGACCAGAGGGAUGUGAUCCAAAGGUAACAGGAGACUGUUCACCCUCUCAGUAACCAGAGGGAUGUGAUCCAUAGGUAACAGAGGAGACUGUUCACCCUCUCAGUGACCAGAGGGAUGUGAUCCAUAGGUAACAGAGGAGACUGUUCACCCUCUCAAUAAGCAGCGGGAUGUGAUCCAUAGGUAACAGGAGACUGUUCACCCUCUCAGUAACCAGAGGGAUGUGAUCCAUAGGUAACAGGAGACUGUUCACCCUCUCAGUGACCAGAGGGAUGUGAUCCAUAGGUAACAGGAGACUGUUCACCCUCUCAGUUACCAGAGGGAUGUGAUCCAUAGGUAACAGAGGAGACUGUUCACCCUCUCAGUAACCAGAGGGAUGUGAUCCAUAGGUAACAGAG